UACGAAGGGGGCUAGCGUUGCUCGGAAUUACUGGGCGUAAAGGGAGCGUAGGCGGACAGUUAAGUCAGAGGUGAAAGCCCAGGGCUCAACCCUGGAAUGCCGGUGGAUACUGUCGGGCUCGAGUUCGGAAGAGGUGAGUGGAAUUCCUGGUGUAGCGGUGAAAUGCGCAGAUAUCAGGAGGAACACCAAUGGCGAAGGCAGCUCACUGGGACGAUACUGACGCUGAGACGCGAAAGCGUGGGGGAGCAAACAGG
rnacentral:rRNA from 1 species